rnacentral:lncRNA from 1 species
UUAAGAAAUUUCUUGGGAAUUCAUUCUUAGUCCAUGGCCCACAUUCAGUAAUGGAUCUAAACAGUACUUUUUAAUGCAAGGGGUAGGCGGGAUUAUUUAUACGUAAACAAGGUCACAGUAUAAACCAUGGUUUUUGAGUUGCUGUAUAGUCGCCGACUAAUCGCCAAGUCAUUUUCCAAAAAUCAAGGCGACUCGCGACUAUACAGCGACUUAUGGCGACUAUACAGCGACUUCCGUCGACUAAUCGCCUAGCCGCAGGGCUCGCGGCGACUCGCCAAGUCGGGACUCAAAAACCUUUGUACAAACAUAUCAAUACAAACAAACAUAUAACACACGGACAACCUCAAGAACUUGUAUAUUGUUUGGUUCGCAGAUAACAGGAAGCUUCCAACGCCUGCCAACACAAGAUCCUACCGAAUCCUGCUACGCGGAAAUGGUUCAUCUCUUGCUUAUGAGCCGCCAUUAGGGAUCCGCGGGCAGUCUCGCUGAGCCGCAGCUGCCACAAAUGAUUAAGAAAAAACAAGUUAAUUAGUUAGAAAGAAAAGAGUACAUGAUUUAAUUUACUGGGAAACAUCAGCUGUGGUGGCUAAUUAACUUACGGUUGCUGCAUUUGGACGGCCCACUAUUUGCCAGGAUACCACCAACGAAAACCAGCAGAACGAGGAGGAUCAGCAUCAGCCGAACCGAGGUCGCAGAGGAGUUGUUGUUCACCAUCCUCGAUCUUUCGUCUCUUUGCUCCUUCCUGUGUUUCUAUUCUACUUGGAUUGGCGACCUGGCUCACAAUUUGUGCAAUGGGUGCUCGACUAGAGCACUUAUAUAUAGAGUAGUACGUAUAGUUUCCAUGUGUGAAAGUAGGGUAGGUGCAGAUGCGGAAGAUGAAGAAAAAUGGUGUGGUGCUUCUGGGGGUUUGUGGAAGGAGUAGUAUUGUAGUACAAGUUGAUCAAAUUAAAGGAUAUGAUACUCCUAUCCUAUGGCAAAGGCUAGUGUUCUUGGAUUUCACAAAACAGACUUGAAUAACAUGUAAUCUUUUUUUAUUUGAAACAAUUUAUUUUAAAUUUAAAUUGCUAGUCAAAGUGCCACCUAGAAGAUCUUAUCAAUUAGUUAUCUCAAACGAUAUUUAUAUUCUAGAUCACAGGGAGUAUAUCCAAGGGGGAACGAUCGAGUUGGGUUCCUAUCACAGCCAAGUGGCCCAAGUGGCCCAAGUGUACACACAUUCUUUUUGGCCUUCAUGCAUCUGAGAGAGGUAGCAAAAUCAACUUGGGUAGUCCAAAAGAUAAUCUUUCAAUUCUUCAUGGAAAGGUAGUCUGAAACUAGGACCGGGAUAACUGGAAGGAGACUUGAAUUGCUCACAUAGAAUAGAGAGGAGGAUUUUGCUUAAAAUGAUAAGAGUCAGGAGAGGGUCUAUGUUAAUAGAGCUCUUUAGAUGUUUGUGACUUGUGGGACUGGUUUCACAUGACCCAGAUAUUUUUAUUACUUUCUGUGAUAUGCAUCUCAGUUGUUCAACUUGACUAACUAGUUCUUCAAUACGUACCACAUAGAAGUUUGUAUUGAUGUCUAUACCACUAUAUAGUAUACCAAUAUCACGGCAUAUGAACUGUUGGAUGUUUAAUCGAUUGGAGCAUGUUAAAUGGAUUUCUUUCUGGAGCAGUGUGGACAUACAUGCACCGUUUGACUUGUCAAUCUAACGGCCCAAGUUACAGGUAACAAUACACUGACCUCCGGUGAAUAUGGGCCGUCCGUCGGACCGGAUUAUAUGGUCCGAUGUAUAGUCACACCUUCAAUUAUUUAUCAAGGGCUCCACAUAUUUCAUAGAACAAUUAUUUUACGAGAUGUACUGAUUCAAACGAAACUCUAUAAGCUUCAACUAUGACUUGCUUAGCACAUGCCACAGUGCUAGUAGAAAAUAGUUCUUCAAAGAAAUUCAUUAAUCAUAUAUAGUCUACUGCUCAUGAGAGUGGCAAUUUGGCACAUGGGAGCGCGCCCUCCUAGUUUUUAAAAUGUGUUUUAAACAUAUUUUGAAAUGUCAAAAAAUUCCAAAUAAAACUUGGCACGUACAUCUCUAUAUUGUACAUGCUCACAAAGUCGUUCCGCGAAAAACUGACAACUUAUUUGUCGCAUGUGAAAAAGAUAAAAUCCGGUGUUAAAAAAAUGUUUUUCACAAGACAUCCUUUUGUCUUUUUUACACAAGUCACAAAAAAUGUUGGUUUUCCGUGAAACUUGACGUGCACACAUAUAAUGUCGAGAUGUAUGCGCCGAAUUUUCGUUUGGAAUUUUUUCACACUUUGAAAAAAAAAAUCACGUGCAGGAGCGCGCGCUCCCGGGAGCACCAACGGAUUUCCGACUGCUCAUUUACUACUACAUGUUAUUAGCUACAAUUACCUAUAAUUACAAUGGAUUUACUUAUUCAUCCUAUGCCCUUUUGACGAUAACCGUCGUCAUUGCUACCAUCAUGGCCAACUCUACAUCAUAUCCGCUCUCCUAGCUCAUUGCCAAGUCACAUAGUUGAAGAGACACAAAAUACAAGUUAUAAGGUUACAUACAUAGUUACAAAGACACAAAAUAUAAGUUACAAGAAACUGUAAUUGCCAUCUUUGCCCUUCAUGCAUAGCUGUUAGGAUCAUACUGGAUCGGCGGUCUAACAGGAAAAAAGGAACCAAGGCGUUAACCGAUCCAACCAAACGAUCAGGUGUGCAAUUGGGAUCAAACUGAAAAAAACCGAUAACUCAUGACCCCCGAUAACUCAGGACCGUCCCUAAUUGUAUCUAGUAACAUGUAGUAGUGAAUGAGCAAUCGACAAUGUAUAUGAUCUAAUCCCCGCAAAAAAAAAACGUCUAUGAUCCAAUAAAUGUCUUUGAAGAACUGCUAUACUAGCAUGCUGGCACAUGCAAAGCACGUCCAUAGCUGAAGUGUAUAUAAUUUCAACUGAAUCGGUACAUCUUAUAAAUAUAUUUUGUGUGAAAUAUGGGGCCUUUGAAAAAUCUACCAUGUAGUCCCUUUUGAUUUUAAAUAAUUGACGGUGUGGCUGUCCAUACCAAAGUUGCCACCUAUAACCUGGGCCAUUAGAUUGGCAAAUCAAAAGGUGCAUUUUGGUCCACAUUGUUGCAGAAAGAAAUCCAUUUGACAUGAUCCAUUUGAUUAAAGAUCUAAUGGUUCAUAUGGUAAUACUUAGUAGUAUAGAUAUAGAUAUGUGAGAGCCUAGAGCUUAAUCGGCACUAAUCUCCUGUGAAAAACAAUAGAAAGACAAUGACCAAACACUUCAAAAAAAAUCAGCACGAAUCUUGCGCAUAAUCCCGUGGCUACAGCAUCUACUGAGCUGUAUAUAUUUCUCAAUCGAUUGAGAAAUUGCAAACUGUAUAAAUAUAUUUUUAUGUGAGAUAUAUACCGAAGAACUAGUUAGUGAAGCUGAACAUGAAAAAUAAACUCAGAUGCUCAUCACAGAUAAUUAUAAAAAUAGUUGGAUCAUGUGAAACCAGUCCCAGAAAUCAAAAACAAAAAUAUCUAAUAAUUCGAAACAGUCAAGAAAUUUCUUGGGAAUUCAUUCUUAGCCCAUGGCCCACAUUCAGUAGUAGAUCUGAACAGUACUUUUUAAUGUACGGGGUAGGCCAUAUUAUUUAUAUGUAAACCAUGUCACAGUACAAACAUAUCAAUACGAACAAACAUCACAGAUCACACACCAACACCUCAAGAACAUGUAUAUUGUUUUUUUCGCAUGUAUAAUAGGAAGCUUCCAACGCCUGCCAACACAAGAUCCUACCGAAUCCUGCCACGCGGAAAUGGUCCAUCUCGUGCUUAUGAGCCGCCAUUAGGGAUCCGCGGGCAGUCUCGCUGAGCCGCAGCUGCCACAAAUGAUUAAGGAAAAACAAGUUAAUUGGGUAGAAAGACAGGAGUAGAUGAUUUAAUUUACUGGGAGAGGGUUCACAUGCAUAUGCAUGGAAGGAAACAGGAGCUGUGGUAGCGUGCUUACGGUUGCUGCAUUUGGACGGCCCACUAUUUGCCAGGAUGCCACCAACGAAAACCAGCAGAACGAGGAGGAUCAGCAUCAGCCGAACCGAGGUCGCAGAGGAGUUGUUCUUCACCAUCCUCGAUCGUUCGUCUCUAUUCUACUUCCUGUGUUUCUAUUCUACUUGGAUUGGCGACCUGGCUCACAGUUUGUGCAAUGGAUGCUCGACUCGAGCACUUAUAUAUAGAGAGAACGUUGUCUUUGGAUUUUGCCUUGUUUGGCAGUAGAUGCUUUCUCCCUUUCGGCAGGUUUGAUACAGUUUGGCUUGCGAGCAUUUAGGCCGUAGUUCUACUUUUC